rnacentral:rRNA from 1 species
AUUGAACGCUGGCGGCAGGCCUAACACAUGCAAGUCGAGCGGAUGAGAGGAGCUUGCUUCUCGAUUCAGCGGCGGACGGGUGAGUAAUGCCUAGGAAUCUGCCUGGUAGUGGGGGACAACGUUUCGCAAGGAACGCUAAUACCGCAUACGUCCUACGGGAGAAAGCAGGGAACCUUCGGGCCUUGCGCUAUCAGAUGAGCCUAGGUCGGAUUAGCUAGUUGGUGAGGUAAUGGCUCACCAAGGCGACGAUCCGUAACUGGUCUGAGAGGAGGAUCAGUCACACUGGAACUGAGACACGGUCCAGACUCCUACGGGAGGCAGCAGUGGGGAAUAUUGGACAAUGGGCGAAAGCCUGAUCCAGCCAUGCCGCGUGUGUGAAGAAGGUCUUCGGAUUGUAAAGCACUUUAAGUUGGGAGGAAGGGUUGUAGAUUAAUACUCUGCAAUUUUGACGUUACCGACAGAAUAAGCACCGGCUAACUCUGUGCCAGCCGCCGCCGUAACAC